UGCGUUUAAUUUAAUGCAUUGUUUUUAGUGAUUUUAAUCGAGCAAAUCAUUUGAGAGAGAACUAUGAGUUUUAAAUACAAAAAUAGAUAAGCUUUCCAAUAAAACUUUGUACUUCCGAAACUUCUCGAGAUAUGAGUAUGACUACGUAGACGCAGUGGUUCCCAAACUUAACCGGCUCACCGCCCAUUUUUCGGAAAGAAAAUUAAUUCACGCUUCCCACGCUACCUCCCCUCUCCCUCCCGGCCUCCCCUCAGACUUCCAGCGCACAAAAGAAAAAAUGUUAUUAUUAAUAAAAUUUCCUAACUAUGAAAA